CCUACGGGUGGCUGCAGUGGGGAAUAUUGGACAAUGGGGGGAACCCUGAUCCAGCCAUGCCGCGUGUGUGAAGAAGGCCCUCGGGUUGUAAAGCACUUUCAGUGAGGAAGAACGCCUGGUGGUUAAUACCCAGCAGGAAAGACAUCACUCACAGAAGAAGCACCGGCUAACUCCGUGCCAGCAGCCGCGGUAAUACGGAGGGUGCGAGCGUUAAUCGGAAUUACUGGGCGUAAAGCGCGCGUAGGUGGCUUGAUAAGCCGGUUGUGAAAGCCCCGGGCUCAACCUGGGAACGGCAUCCGGAACUGUCAAGCUAGAGUGCAGGAGAGGAAGGUAGAAUUCCCGGUGUAGCGGUGAAAUGCGUAGAGAUCGGGAGGAAUACCAGUGGCGAAGGCGGCCUUCUGGACUGACACUGACACUGAGGUGCGAAAGCGUGGGUAGCAAACAGGAUUAGAUACCCUAGUAGUC
rnacentral:rRNA from 1 species